rnacentral:rRNA from 1 species
CGGCAGACGGGUGAGUAACGCGUGGGAAUCUACCCAUCUCUACGGAAUAACCCAGGGAAACUUGGAUUAAUACCGUAUACGUCCUUUUGGAGAAAGAUUUAUCGGAGAUGGAUGAGCCCGCGUUGGAUUAGCUAGUUGGUGGGGUAAUGGCCUACCAAGGCGACGAUCCAUAGCUGGUCUGAGAGGAUGAUCAGCCACACUGGGACUGAGACACGGCCCAGACUCCUACGGGAGGCAGCAGUGGGGAAUAUUGGACAAUGGGGGCAACCCUGAUCCAGCCAUGCCGCGUGAGUGAUGAAGGCCCUAGGGUUGUAAAGCUCUUUCACCGGUGAAGAUAAUGACGGUAACCGGAGAAGAAGCCCCGGCUAACUUCGUGCCAGCCGCCGCGGUAAU